UACAGUCAGCUUCAGCUGAUCGGCAACCUUAACUCCCUCUGCAGCCUUAAUUCUCUUUUGGCGUGCCUACCAAGGAAGGUUCAGUCAGAGAAGCAGAACCAGUAGGAGCGCCUAUACAGAGAUGACCGGAGAAUGAGGCCAGUCAGGCAUAGCGCAGUGUCGUGCAAGAAACUCCAACUCUGGGGCCAUUUGGGCGGGAUUUGAAUCCCAAAUCUGGCGUCUGCUAGUGGAGCAGAUUCAGGCAAGUCGCUUAACACUUCUGAACCUGAUUUGCAUUAAAAAGAAAAUUAAACAUUUUAUCUUGAGAUGGCUGUAGCAUUUUCACUUUUGUAAAACAAAGAAAAUAGAAUCUACCAAGAUGAAUUGUUCUAGGAUUUAAAAUUGCACUUUAUGUUAGAAAUGUAUGUGUAUAUAUAUAUGAAAUAUAUACAUAUCUCCCAUAGGAGCUAUGGUUCAGUAUUUCCUAACUCUAUUUGCAGUGGCUUUGUAGAACAUAACCACCACAAAUAAGGAGAACUGAUUGUACUAACAGGUGCCCUAGGAUACCUCCUGUAUAUUCUUCCUACUUCCAUCGUGUAGUCAUAACCCAAUUUCUUUGUUAAUCAAGUCAAAUCAUUCCAGCCAAUAUAGUAACCACUUUUUUUUUUUUUUUGGCCUGUUGUUUCAGAGUCAUGGGGACCCCAAAGUGGGAGGAUGGCAGUUUCAGUUUCCAGUUCAGUGGAAUAGUUUUUGUGUCUCCUGGUGGAACAAUUCUUCCCCUUCGGGACCAAGACUUCUAGACCAGCAGAGUAGAGAGACACAGCAUGAGCAGGGG